AUUUUUACAAUGGAGAGUUUGAUCCUGGCUCAGGAUGAACGCUAGCUACAGGCUUAACACAUGCAAGUCGAGGGGCAGCAUCGCGAUAGCUUGCUAUUGCGGAUGGCGACCGGCGCACGGGUGAGUAACGCGUAUCCAACCUUCCCGCAACUGGGGAAUAACCUUGCGAAAGUAAGACUAAUACCCCAUGGUCUCCACGGAUGGCAUCUGAAAUGGAGUAAAGGUUUCGGCCGGUUGCGGAUGGGGAUGCGUCCGAUUAGCUUGACGGCGGGGUAACGGCCCACCGUGGCAUCGAUCGGUAGGGGUUCUGAGAGGAAGGUCCCCCACAUUGGAACUGAGACACGGUCCAAACUCCUACGGGAGGCAGCAGUGAGGAAUAUUGGUCAAUGGGCGGAAGCCUGAACCAGCCAAGUAGCGUGAAGGACGACUGCCCUAUGGGUUGUAAACUUCUUUUAUGCGGGGAUAAAGUUCGCCACGUGUGGCGUUUUGCAGGUACCGCAUGAAUAAGGACCGGCUAAUUCCGUGCCAGCAGCCGCGGUAAUACGGAAGGUCCAGGCGUUAUCCGGAUUCAUUGGGUUUAAAGGGAGCGUAGGCCGCCUUUUAAGCGUGUUGUGAAAUGUAGGGGCUCAACCCCUGCACUGCAGCGCGAACUGGAGGGCUUGAGUACACACAAAGUAGGCGGAAUUCAUGGUGUAGCGGUGAAAUGCUUAGAUAUCAUGAAGAACCCCGAUUGCGAAGGCAGCUUACUGGAGUGUAACUGACGCUGAAGCUCGAAAGCGCGGGUAUCGAACAGGAUUAGAUACCCUGGUAGUCCGCGCGGUAAACGAUGGAUGCCCGCUGUUUGCCACUUUGGUAAGCGGCCAAGCGAAAGCGUUAAGCAUCCCACCUGGGGAGUACGCCGGCAACGGUGAAACUCAAAGGAAUUGACGGGGGCCCGCACAAGCGGAGGAACAUGUGGUUUAAUUCGAUGAUACGCGAGGAACCUUACCCGGGCUUGAA
rnacentral:rRNA from 1 species